AGGGACUCGCUCAUAUCUCUCGCUUCGUUUGGUUGCCAUUUGCCAAUAAUUGAAAGAAUACGAAAACGGAAAGUUUAAACCGAGAGAAUUCGGGCUAUUUUCAGCAUAGUAGCAUCAACCAAAGACUCCUUGAUCUUAGCAUAACGCUCUGUCAUUAGAUUGUUGUAACCUUAAACAACUGGUGCAACCAAACGGUGUUGGACCUAUCGCGCGGUGUUUCAUGGUUAUGGGGAAGGGGUUAACUGAGCACCGUGGUUUUAGUUUUGUUCAAUUAUACUCUUGCAUUGUUUGAAGCCUUGCACCUUUAGCAUGUAUUAUGAGCUGAAGAAUGGCUCAUCAGUUGGAAGUCAGAAAAAUGCUGUCAAGCAUGCCAUGCGUAGAGCUCCCCUUCAACAGAGAAGAUCAAAGGCAGAUCAAGAGGAACAUGUGGAAGCCAGAAAAGCAACUGCACUUUCGAAUGUUCUGUUUGCUUAAGGGGUUAGCUCAGAAAAGCAGAGGUAUU